GCAGGUCUCUGCAACCAGCAGCAAAGCCAGCAAUGGACGAUACCAUUAAAAACAGGAUGUGAAAUAAAAUAUAAUAUAUUUGUAAAUAAUUCAUAUGUACCAACAUAUGUAGAAAACUGCACCUGUAUUUUACAAAACAAAAGACUUGCAACAUUUCCAGACGGCACUCAUUGCAAAGUGUUGGCCGUUGGAUAUGACAAAGAAUACGCCAAUAGAGCAGGGACGUGUAAGGAUGGCAAGUGCAUUUUACCUAACGUACCACUCGGAUGCGAAGGAGUGGAGCCUCCACCACAGAAAGCUGGCGAACGUCCCCAGCUCGGCUGCACAUAUCUUUGCUACAACGACUCUACAAAGAGAGUAGAGUUUGCCUAUCUCAAAGAAGAAACCCCUUGUAUGGUAAGAUACCUU